UUGAGCUAAGGCGAGGCCGAAAGGCGUAGUCGAUGCACAUACGGUUGAAAUUCCGUAGCCGCCGAAAUUGUUAAGCACAGGGACACAUAGAGAUAUCCGAACCCGGGCGUUGGUUGACCCGGGCGCAAGGGACCGAACAUCAGUAGGGAAGUCGGAGAUGCUCUGUGGCGAGAAAAGCUGUGUGUAUUGAUUAGGCGCCCGUACCGCAAACCGACACAGGUAGAUGAGGAGAGAAUCCUAAGGCCAACGGGAGAAGGGUUGUUAAGGAACUCGGCAAAUUGACCCCGUAACUUCGGGAUAAGGGGAGCCUCCUACGGGAGGCCGCAGUGAAUAGGCCCAAGCAACUGUUUACCAAAAACACAGGUCUCUGCUAAAUCGAAAGAUGACGUAUAGGGGCUGACGCCUGCCCGGUGCCGGAAGGUUAAGAGGAGAGCUUAGCGCAAGCGAAGGUUCGAAUUGAAGCCCCGGUAAACGGCGGCCGUAACAAUAACGGUCCUAAGGUAGCGAAAUUCCUUGUCAGGUAAGUUCUGACCCGCACGAAUGGCGUAAUGAUUUGGGCACUGUCUCAACAGCCCGCCCGGCGAAAUUGUAGUACUGGUGAAGAUGCCAGUUACCCGCAACUAGACGGAAAGACCCCAUGGAGCUUUACUGUAGCCUAAUACUGAAGAUCGGUAAUGCAUGUACAGGAUAGGUGGGAGCCAGCGAAACCCGGGCGUCAGCUCGGAUGGAGGCAACCUUGGAAUACCACCCUUGUAUUGCUGGUUUUCUAACCUGCGGCCAUGAAUCUGGUCGGGGGACACUGUUAGGUGGGCAGUUUGACUGGGGCGGUCGCCUCCAAAAGCGUAACGGAGGCGCUCAAAGGUUGGCUCAGCACGGACGGAAAUCGUGCAUAGAGUUCGAACGCAUAAGCCAACUUGACUGCGAGACCGACGGGUCGAGCAGGUACGAAAGUAGGAGUUAGUGAUCCGGUGGUAUGUGAGUGGAAAUGCCAUCGCUCAACGGAUAAAAGCUACCCUGGGGAUAACAGGCUGAUCUCCCCCAAGCGUCCACAGCGACGGGGAGGUUUGGCACCUCGAUGUCGGCUCGUCACAUCCUGGGGCUGUAUUCGGUCCCAAGGGUUCGGCUGUUCGCCGAUUAAAGUGGCACGCGAGCUGGGUUCAGAACGUCGUGAGACAGUUCGGUCCCUAUCUGUUGCGGGCGCAGGAGAUUUGAAGGGAGCUGUCCUUAGUACGAGAGGACCGGGAUGGACAGACCUCUGGUGCACCAGUUGUCGUGCCAACGGCACAGCUGGGUAGCUACGUCUGGACGAGAUAAACGCUGAAAGCAUCUAAGUGUGAAACUCCCCCUAAGAUAAGAUCUCCCAUCCAUUAGGAGUAAGGGACGACAGAGACUAUGUCGUUGAUAGGUCGGAAGUGUAAGUGCAGUAAUGCAUUGAGCUGACCGAUACUAAUAACCCGAGGGCUUGACC
rnacentral:rRNA from 1 species